UCUUCCUCGUCGUUCCUCUCUCACACGCGCCCACGUUGUUGUCCUCCUUCCAUUGCGAUGCCACCCCGCCCUCCUCCAUCCUUUCUUCUCCCUUGAAGAGCUCGCACCACCACCUCACUCUGCCUCUCAGUCGUGCUCAGUGGGUCGGCAAACGCGGGGAACACACGUGCCCAUGGCGGUAAGAUAAGCUCCGGCUGUAGCAGAUCUGAUUUUCUUGAUCUUUUACCUAUUCCGGUGAAUCUCCCGUUUCUCUCAUUUCCAGGAACAGUGGAGGAGAACAACUAACCAACCAGAAAAGCGGCAGCGACAAAAGUUCUUUCACAGCAUCUCAGCAGCCAGGAGGAUUAGGUGUUUGUUUUACUCGAUGGAGGAGCCACACCGUUCAGAGUAUGCAGGACAAGCAAUGAACUUCGAUUUUAUUUUCCCAUAAAUCUGUAGAAAAGAAAUUCCGAGCUCGAAGAAACCAAUUGGCAUGACCGGAUAGAACUUCAAACUAGGUGAUCUGAAAUUCAUGAAAGUUUUAAGAAAUGGCUUUCGAUGAAUGAAGCUUCCAUGUUCAUUGCCAACCCGACCGGUCCUCCAGAAAUGGUUACAAACCACACAAGGUCUUCUUGCAUACUAUUUUCUUGCAACGUACAACCUAUUUGUCUUAUUUUGCUUCUUCAGUUCUUCUUUAAACAAUCAUGUUGAUCGUGAUUUACGUUUUCUAUUAUAGCUCAUAAUUAGGGGUAACAAUAAUAGGUCAGGGUACUAUGCCUUUAUGGCGAUAGUGUUUUUCUUUUUCUGCAUUCGAAGGAAUGUAUACAAUAUUGUUAUUCCAUAAGUGCUUGAUUCAUAGGACACAACGAGCCAAAUUUAGAUAUGGCCAAAGACUGUCAAAGGAGGCGCACGACACU